rfam:Microgenomates bacterium DG_75 WOR1_52_54_115960, whole genome shotgun sequence.
GGCUACUCUAAUUAAUGCAGAUAAUGAAUGCCUUGGCUGUUUGGGCCGAAGAAGGACGCGGCGUGACGGCGAAACUCGUCGGGAAGGUGUCAAGCAACCUGCGAUCCGGCGGUGUCCGAAUGGGGAAACCUAAUCCUUCGGGAUUGCUUGAGACUGAAAAUAUUACCUUCGGGUGAUAUAUAGGUUUCAAAGGGGCCAGCGCCCGAAUUGAAACAUCUUAGUAGGGCGAGGAAAAGAAAUCGAAUGAGAUUCCGUUAGUAGCGGCGAGCGAAAGCGGAAAAGCCCAAACCCUGUUUCGACAGGGGGUUGUAGGGCCUUAAUAUGGGAGUGCUGCGGAUAGUUGAAGUACCUGGAAUUGGUACGCCAAAGAAAGCGAAAGCCUUGUAAACAAAAUCCAAAGCACCUCUAGAGGAUUCCUGAGUACCACGGAAGAUUUACUUUUGUGGGAAUCUGGGGCAAUACCCAAACAGACCGAUAGUGAACUAGUACCGUGAGGGAAAGGUGAAAAGUCCCCCGGGAGGGGAGUGAAAUAGAACCUGAAAUUAUCUGCUAACAAACAGUCAGAGUCGCGUUUAAUGCGAUGAUGGCGUGCCUAUUGAAGAAUGAACCGGCGAGUUCUCAUUCUCUCUUAGUCUAAGUUACUUUGUAACGGAGGCAAAGGGAAACCAAGUCUUAAAAUGGCGUUUAGGAGAGAAUGGGAGACCCGAAACCGGGCGAGCUAUCCGUGGGCAGGGUGAAGCUUCGCGAAAGCGAAGUGGAGGCCCGAACCAGUGUCUGGUACAAGAGGCUUGGAUGACCUGCGGAUAGGAGUAAUAUGCUCGUGCUCGGUGAUAGCUGGUUCUCCCCGAAAUAUAUUUAGGUAUAGCGUCCUGGUAUAAACCAGAGAGGUAGAGCACUGAAUGGAUAUGGGGCAGAAAUGUCUCAUAUUCAAUCAAACUCCGAAUUCUUUGGUGUUCACCAGGGCAGUCAGUCCCGCCGGGCUAAGCUGGUGGGUCGAGAGGGAAACAACCCUGACUCUCGUCUAAGGUCUCUAAAUUGAACCUAAGUGUGAAAGGAAGUGAAGUCGCUCAGACAGCUAGGAGGUUGGCUUAGAAGCAGCCAUCCUUUAAAGAAAGCGUAACAGCUCACUAGUCGAGGGGCUUUGCGCCGAAAAUCCAACGAGGCUAAGGUUCGUACCGAAGACAGAGGUGGUCGCUUGCGAUCGCGGUAGGGGAGCGUCCCUCACUUAGUGAAGCAGAACCGUAAGGUUUUGUGGAAGGUGAGGGAGUGAGAAUGCCGGUAUGAGUAGCGAGAAACCGGUGAGAAUCCGGUUGGCCGAAAAUCCAAGGUUUCCGAAGCAAUGGUCGUCAACUUCGGGUUAGUCGGUCCUAAGGCGAGGCCUAAUGGCGUAGUCGAUGGACAACAGGUUGAUAUUCCUGUACCUUAACUGUUUCGUUACUAGUUGGGGAAGGACGGAGUUUGAUAUGUCUGGCGUCAUAAUGAUUCGGCGUUUAAGCUAUAAAUCAGUGACAAUUGGCAAAUCCGUUAUCACGACGGUGAAUAGUGAUGAAAAGACCUGAGCUUGUCGAGGGUCAAUCAGACGGCGUUAAGCUUCCGAGAAAAAUUUCGCAAUCAGAAACAGUUGAGACCGUACCGCAAACCGACACAGGUGGAUGGGUAGAGAAUACCAAGGCCAGCGGGAGAAGGGGGUUUAAGGAACUCGGCAAAAAAGCUGGGCGUAACUUCGGGAGAUGCCCUGCCCACAGCACUUCGGUGCUUGUGGGUCGCAGCGAAAGAUGCUUGCCGACUGUUUAUCUAAAACACAGGUCUGUGCAAAGGCGAAAGCCAAGGUAUACGGGCUGAGACCUGCCCAGUGCUGGAAGGUUAAGGGGAGGGAUGAUUCUUUUAGAUGAGUCCUGAACUGAAGCCCCGGUGAACGGCAGCAGUAACUAUAACUGUUCUACGGUAGCGAAGUCCCUUGUCGGGUAAGUUCCGACCUGCACGAAAGGUUUAACGAGCAAGCAACUGUCUUGAGCCCUCACCCGGUGAAAUUGAAAUAGCUGUGAAGAUGCGGCUUACUUGCUGCAGGACAAAAAGACCCCGUGGAGCUUUACUACAGCUUGGCAUUGAAUUGAGUUUACUGACUGUCGAGAAUAGGAGGGAGUCUUCGGACGCCAGUGAAAUACCUCUCUUCGGUAUGUUCAGUUCUAACCUAAGGACCCUGGAAACGGGUUUGGGAACAGUGUCUGGUGGGUAGUUUGACUGGGGCGGUCGCUUGCUCAAAGGUAACGCAAGCGUACAAAGGUCGGCUUAGCGCGGAUGGAAAUCGCGCUGGACGUACAAAGGCGAAAGCCGGCUUAACUGUGAGACUGACGGGUCGAGCAGAUGCGAAAGCAGGUCUUAGUGAUCCCCUGAUGCUUUGUGGAAGGCACAGGGCUUAACGGAUAAAAGCUACCCCGGGGAUAACAGAGUAGUCGGGCCCAAGAGUCCAUAUCGACGGCCCGGAUCGCUACCUCGAUGUCGGCUCAGCGCAUCCCUCGAUGUCGGCUCAGCGCAUCCUGGGGCUGGAGAAGGUCCCAAGGGUUGGUCUGUUCGCCCAUUAAAGCGCUACGUGAGCUGGGUUCAGAACGCCGUGAGGCAGUUCGGCCUCUAUCCGCAGCAAGCGUUGGAUACUUGAGAGAAGCUGUUUCCAGUACGAGAGGACCGAAAUGGGCCAAUCCCUAGUGUGCCAGUUGUUGCCGUCAGGUGCACCGCUGGGUAGCUACAUUGGUUCGGGAUAACCGCUGAAAGCAUCUAAGCGGGAAGCCCAUCUCAAGAUAAGGUAUCCUUCCCUGACCUUUGGGUCGGGGGCGAGAUCGGUAGGAGAUUACUACCUUGAUAGGCGACCGGUGUAAGCGUAGCAAUACAUUUAGCCAAGUCGUACUAAUCGAUCAAAGGAGUAGCUUG